rnacentral:tRNA from 1 species
ACUGAUUUGGCAGAUUUAAGUGCAUUAAAUUUAGGAUUUAAAAAUAUUGAUUUAUCAUUAGUUAGUA